rnacentral:rRNA from 1 species
UGGAAUCGCUAGUAAUCGCGAAUCAGAAUGUCGCGGUGAAUACGUUCCCGGGUCUUGUACACACCGCCCGUCACACCAUGGGAGUCAGCAACGCCCGAAGUCAGUGACCUAACCGAAAGGGAGGAGCUGCCGAAGGCGGGGCCGGUAACUGGGGUGAAGUCGUAACAAGGUAGC